UCCUCGGUAACUCAGUGGUAGAGUGCUCGCCUGUUAAGCGAAGAGUCGUAGGUUCGAAUCCUACCCGAGGAGCAA
rnacentral:tRNA from 3 species